rnacentral:lncRNA from 1 species
CAGGAUUUGUUUUCUUCUCAAAGUGCGAGUAACUUAAAAGGUGCAUCUCUGCUGCCUGGCAAGCUCCCCACGUCGGUUUCCCUGUUUGAUGAUGAAGAUGAAGAGGAUAAUCUUUUUGGGCGUACAGCUGCUAAGAGGCAGACAUUGUGUCUACAAGCUCAGAGAGAAGAGAAAGCAAAAGCCUCCGAGCUCUCCAAAAAGAAAGCAUCUGCCCUGUUGUUCAGCAGUGAUGAGGAGGUGAGCUGAGGUUUCUGCUAA